CCUACGGGAGGCAGCAGUGGGGAAUAUUGCACAAUGGGGGAAACCCUGAUGCAGCGACGCCGCGUGAGUGAAGAAGUAAUUCGUUAUGUAAAGCUCUAUCAGCAAGGAAGACAAUGACGGUACCUGAGUAAGAAGCCCCGGCUAACUACGUGCCAGCAGCCGAGGUAAUCCGUCGGGGGCAAGCGUUAUCCGGAUUUACUGGGUGUAAAGGGAGCGGAGACGGCAGUGCAAGUCUGGAGUGAAAGGCGGGGGCUCAACCCCCGGACUGCUCUGGAAACUGUACGGCUGGAGUGCAGGAGAGGUAAGUGGAAUUCCUAGUGUAGCGGUGAAAUGCGUAGAUAUUAGGAGGAACACCAGUGGCGAAGGCGGCUUACUGGACUGUAACUGACGUUGAGGCUCGAAAGCGUGGGGAGCAAACAGGAUUAGAUACCCUAGUAGUC
rnacentral:rRNA from 1 species